rnacentral:rRNA from 1 species
AGAGUUUGAUUAUGGCUCAGGAUGAACGCUGGCGGCGUGCUUAACACAUGCAAGUCGAACGGAAAGGCCACAGCUUGCUGUGGUACUCGAGUGGCGAACGGGUGAGUAACACGUGGGUGAUCUGCCCUGUACUUCGGGAUAAGCUUGGGAAACUGGGUCUAAUACCGGAUAUGACCACUUUUUGGAUGGGGUGGUGGAAAGCUUUUGCGGUAUGGGAUGAGCUCGCGGCCUAUCAGCUUGUUGGUGGGGUAAUGGCCUACCAAGGCGUCGACGGGUAGCCGGCCAGAGAGGGUGUACGGCCACAUUGGGACUGAGAUACGGCCCAGACUCCUACGGGAGGCAGCAGUGGGGAAUAUUGCACAAUGGGCGCAGGCCUGAUGCAGCGACGCCGCGUGGGGGAUGACGGCCUUCGGGUUGUAAACUCCUUUCGUCAGGGACGAAGCGUAAGUGACGGUACCUGGAUAAGAAGCACCGGCUAACUACGUGCCAGCAGCCGCGGUAAUACGUAGGGUGCGAGCGUUGUCCGGAAUUACUGGGCGUAAAGAGCUCGUAGGUGGUUUGUCGCGUCGUUUGUGUAAGUCCACGGCUUAACUGUGGGAUGGCAGGCGAUACGGGCAUAACUUGAGUGCUGUAGGGGAGACUGGAAUUCCUGGUGUAGCGGUGAAAUGCGCAGAUAUCAGGAGGAACACCGAUGGCGAAGGCAGGUCUCUGGGCAGUAACUGACGCUGAGGAGCGAAAGCAUGGGUAGCGAACAGGAUUAGAUACCCUGGUAGUCCAUGCCGUAAACGGUGGGCGCUAGGUGUGAGUCCCUUCCACGGGGUUCGUGCCGUAGCUAACGCAUUAAGCGCCCCGCCUGGGGAGUACGGCCGCAAGGCUAAAACUCAAAGGAAUUGACGGGGGCCCGCACAAGCGGCGGAGCAUGUGGAUUAAUUCGAUGCAACGCGAAGAACCUUACCUGGGCUUGACAUACACCAGAUCGGCGCAGAGAUGCGUUUUCCCUUGUGGUUGGUGUACAGGUGGUGCAUGGUUGUCGUCAGCUCGUGUCGUGAGAUGUUGGGUUAANUCCCGCAACGAGCGCAACCCU